AUGGCCUGGACUCCUCUGCUCCUCGCGCUCCUCUCUCACUGCACAGGGUCCCUCUCCCAGCCGGUGCUGACUCAGCCGCCCUCCCUCUCUGCGUCUCCUGAAGCCUCAGCCACACUCACCUGCACCCUGAGUGGUGGCUUCAGUGUUGGUGAUUACUGGAUAAACUGGUUCCAGCAGAAGCCUGGGAGCCCACCACGGUAUCUCCUGAAUUUUAAAUCAGACUCAGAGAAGAAGCAGGGCUCAGGGGUCCCCAGCCGCUUUUCUGGAUCCAAAGACGCCUUGGCCAACGUGGGGUUUCUGCUCAUUUCUGGGCUGGAGCCUGAGGACGAGGCUGACUAUUAUUGUGGUACAGAUCAUGGCAGCGGGAGCGACUAUCAUUACCCACAGUGUCUCAGAUGA